GUAUACUCCCAAACUAAUCCUCCUAGAAGGAAUCUAAGCAAGACUCCUCCACAAACUCAUCCGAAUCAGCAUCUGUGAGAGAUUUGGAUUUGGGUGAGUUCCAAUACUCAAUAAGAUAGAUAAUAUUAAAGGUAUAUAAACAUGUUUUGAAAAUAGUUUCUUAACACAAAGUUAAGUAGAAUAGUGAUAAAUUAAAUAACAAUAUACAGUCAUUUCCAUGUUAUUCAAUUUACACGAUAACCAUUCAACUGUUAGUGACGCUUAAUACCAUAUUCAAUGUGUUUACAUAACUCACACAUGCACCCAGGACUAGAAACAUCUUCUUACUCAAUUUUAAUACAACAUUAUUAUGUUAAUUUUAGUUUUACUGUUUACAAUCCUACACGUAUGGUCGCUAACACUAUUUUCAAGGAGGGUGUGGGUCACCAACUAGCUAAGUAGUGGAAAUGCAAUCAAUAAAUAACAACAAAAACAUAAAUAAAUACAUAUAAAUCACUUAAUACUCUUCGAGCAUCAUCCCACAAUUUCACUCUGGUCACCGUCAUUCAUGUUCUUGAGCCAUAACAGUUCAAAGUCUGCAAACCACUAAACUUCAUCCCAAAAUAGAACCCAAUAUCACACCCAAAGCCUAGUGAUUCCCCUAUUAACCUCAAUAUCCAUUCAAUGAAAUCAGUGAACCGAAUUUAAGUGGACACUUUGUGUUAUUUGUAUUUUAAACUCCUCAGUAUUUUUCUUUCUUAUAUUAUUUUAUCCUAUAUAAUUUCUGAAAUGUAUAAUCGUUAUUAUUUAUUUACUUAGAUUAUUAAAUAAAUUAUUUUAAUUAAAUUUUCAUUAUUUAUUAUUUAAUUUUUUUAUUUAUAAUUUUUAUUGUUUUUAAUCAAUUUCAAUAUUUUAAUUGGUUUUAAUUUUAUUUUAUGGUCUUUUAAUUAAUUUGUUUUGAUUUUAAUUUUAUUUUAAUUUUAUAUAUUUACCAAUACAUUAUUUAAUUACAAUUAUCCCUUUUAAAUUCCAUUUACAUUUUACAAAUUUCCCAAUUCAAUAUCCAUAGUUUUGUUUCAAUUUAACACCUUUUUAUAGGUUUUAUUUAAUUGUAUUAAUCUUUCCCAAAUAGCCCAAUCUACUUAACAGAGGCAAUUGAGCCUUUAUUUUCAUCCCAUUUUCCCAUAUUCUACUUUUUAAAACAUCAUCCACCAUCUGUUGAAGUUAAACACCAUAUUCAAUAUUAAAAUUCAUCAACAACAGUAAAUAAAUCAUCGAAAUAAUGCUAACUCACUUACCCUUUUCAGCUUAAAUCACCACUUUCUUUUAGUUUUUGAAAAGAUUUACCGAAUGAAUCAACAUCUAGAAAAGCCAUACUUUUAUCACCCAUAAUAUAUCCCAUCUUACCUCAAAGAAGUGGCGAAAAUAAAGAACACGAGGAAAAGUUGAGUUUUUGAAGGCUUAAGGAACCAUUGUACAACAUAAUGGAUUGUUGCAGAAAUUGGAAUUAAUUUUCUGAUUUUUUAAAAGUGUUAAACUUUGUUUAACUGAUUCCUAACAACUUCAUAACACCCUAACAAUUUAUUCUAAUUGCUAACUAAUUAAAUUUGCAGAUAACAUAAGAUCUAGAUGAGGAAAUAACCAGAAAGUUUGGAAUUUUACCUGCACAGUCACAGUGACAGUUACUGCAGAAAUGGUUUAAUGAGGUUGCAGUGAUUCUAGGUUCAGAAUUUUGAGAAGGAGAUGUAUAAGUAUUCUAAAACCAUAAAGAAACUAUUUUAGGAGAAGAAGAUCGACUUAGAACAGGACAGAAGGAAAUCUCUUCCUUGUUUGCACUAGAUUUCCUUCACGGCACGACUCUCACUUUCACCUUUGAUUUCCAAUUUCUUCCUCGCCAAUCACUCUCGGUCUCACUCUACUUGUUGCGUUUUGGUUUUAGAUUGAAAUAGAAAAGAAGAAACAAAGGAGAAACCAGUUUAAAAAGAUUUGGGGGCCAAUCUUGGCCGUCCAAAACCAUGCAUGCACUCUUGGCCAUUAAUGCCAAGAGUGGCUGACAGCCCAAGGGAAGUUGUGAUCAGUGCUU
rnacentral:lncRNA from 1 species